CUAGAAGGCAAAGAAAAUUCCGCCAAGUAAACAACAAAGAAAGGGAUUUGGGAUGUUGUCAGUUGUAUGUAUACAUUAUGUGCGACGGUGACUGCAAGAAAAAAGGAAAGUAGAGCUAAUGCAUGCUGCUAAGGAUGGAAAGGUCUUGUGUUUAUUGGGUGUGCCUGAGACACCAGUCACAGUUGUACCUUAUUUCCAUUUUAGGGAGUCUAUAUACAUUUGAGGUGAGCGGCAGAUUUGAUUUUGAAGAAGGGUGACUUUCAGAUGUUGUGAUGAAGAUUGUUGAAAGGGAUUAUCAGCAUAGAACCAAUCCAUAUGAAUGUGCAAGUCAGGACUUGUACAACACCUGAGUACCUAGAUGACUGUUGAACUAAUUGGUGAACAAGAAAAGAUGUCAGAGAGGGGAAUCCAAUACAGAUGUCAUGAUCAAGAAUAUAUACUUAACAAUGAUAUGAUCAAGAAUAUGUAAACUUGUAACGAUUUAAAAUAUCUUAUCUGUAAAUCACUCUUCAUUACUUAAUUGUUCACACAUUAUCAUCUACACUUAUGCUAUAAAUCUUGUCUGUAUACUAAUCGCCCCCUCUUAUCUAACCCCCCUGCUGAUCGUAAUGACCUUUGUAUUGACUCCUGAUCUUAAGGAUCUUGUAAUGUGCUCCUGAUCAUCAGGAAGGGAUCUUGAGUAUAUAUAUAGUGCGACAGAAUUUUAGAAUAAGAUAGGAAGAUGGAAAUAUAGAAGACUUAGUAGAUAGAACUGUUAGAGAUAGAUAAAGUUACUCACUUACUUGGACUAUUAAAUAAUGUAUCUUGGAUUUAUAUGUACAUGUGAUUGUUUUACUUGAAUUUAUUUUUUGUGAAUUAUUUUUCCUGAAUGUUUCUAUUUAUGAUGUGCUGUGUAAGUAAACUGUAGACUAGAAUUUCGGCAUCUAUUUUCAAGAUAUGAGGAACAAGGAUAAAUUAAUUUAUUCAUGCAAACUGACAUUAUGAAAUGUGUUGUAAGACCGCUCGGUGCAGCGCUACAAACUAACUAGGAAAUAUCUUGGAGAUUUAUAGAUGAACAUGCAAGCAUUCAUGAUUUUGAAUAGUAUUCAGCCAGAGAGUUUUUGCACAAAUUUAACUUUCAGUACAGUAAUUUAAACUGGAUGUGUAAUUUUCAGUACAGUUAUGUAAAAUGAAUGUUACUUAUUAUGAUUGUCAAUUUCUCAACAGGACAUAAUUGUAGUUUAUUUAUACGAUCACUCUUGCAGAACAAACACACAGAACUUUUUUUUCUCUGUGUGCAUCAUACACUUGUAAAUGUUUUACACCACCAUGUUUACAUAUUUUACAUUGAUGACAUGUAAAUCGAGCACACACAUGAAAAUGCGUAUAUCUUGAUACAUGCAAACAUGCAUCUACCAUAACCUAUUACAUAUUUUCCAAGGUGUGUGAAGUCGAGCACAUACAUGAAAAUGUGUGAAGCUGGACACAUACACAAAUACACAUGCAUCUGCCACAACCUAUUACAUAUUUUCCAAGGCGUGUGAAGUCGAGCACAUACAUGAAAAUGUGUGAAGCUGGACACAUAUGCAAACACAUUAACAUAUACCACAGACAUAAAAACAUAAUCUAAACUAAGUCAAGCACAGACAGGCUCACUGGCCGGUGAAGCUGGAUUCAUACAUGAUCUCAUGCAUUUUGCAAACUGCAUCCUCACAUAUAUUCUAAUAGAUUUUUCACAAUUUUUUGUGUUUUUGAAUAUGUAAAAUGCAUCAUUUUGCAUUACAAGUUGAAGAUGUUAUUAGCCUGUAUGUAAGCGCAAAUUAAAUAGCCUUUUAUGUAAUUUUUUCACAUUUUUAAUUCAAUUUAAACUGCAAAGUUUAUUUCAUAUUUGUACAUGCACCAUAAAGAAUAAAUAAUAUUGUAACGGUAUUAUAUUUUAAAGUGAAAUGGGACCUCCAUUUCAUAAGCAGAAAUGUGAAAUUUAUACUUAUCAUCUGUAUUUUUUUUAUUUUGUCUUACAUGUAUCUGAAUGUGUAAAGGAAAACAAAAGUCAAAGAUAGCUCAAUAUAAUGUUUAUAUUCAAGGUUAUAACUGGAUAUUGUUUGUGCUGUAUAUCUGACUCAUCAUAUGAUGAGAAGGCAAAAUACAGAAUAUUUUAGAUCAUUUUUGUUUGGAAAAUGAAAAUUAUCAAUAUGCCAAUUUUUCCCAUUGUUAUAUUAUUAAUUAAUAUAUCAUUAAUAUCAAUGUACAUAUGAAAAAUCUAUGCUAUCCAAUCCAGAGAGUUGUAGGCAAUCCUGGUGCAGAUAAUAUUUUUUUCCCGUGUUAUGUAGUAGAAUGGGAACACAUUGUAUGAGAGGAACGUAUAUUAAUGGUUUUGGUUGUAUAUGUGGGCGUGGCCAAAGGAAGGCCAAUGAGAAAUGAGUAUUCAGUAAGGUGUUCAAAUCAUUCUAAGCCAGUGCUCUUCAAUACACACACAUUUAUUUUUGCUUUAUAUAUAAUAUAUAUAUCAUAUUUGUAUAAAUAUACCGGUAAUGGAAAUAACAAAACUGUUGAAAUGUACCCGGUAUUUUAAUUUGGAUUUUUUCAUACAUGCAAAU